rnacentral:rRNA from 1 species
CCUACGGGUGGCAGCAGUGAGGAAUAUUGGUCAAUGGACGAGAGUCUGAACCAGCCAAGUAGCGUGAAGGAUGACUGCCCUAUGGGUUGUAAACUUCUUUUAUAAAGGAAUAAAACGAGGCACGUGUGCCUUUUUGCAUGUACUUUAUGAAUAAGGAUCGGCUAACUCCGUGCCAGCAGCCGCGGUAAUACGGAGGAUCCGAGCGUGAGCCGGAUUUAUUGGGUUUAAGGGGAGCGUAGAUGGGUUGGUAAGUCAGUUGUGAAAGUUUGGGGCUCAACCGUAAAAUUGCAAUUGAUACUGGCAGUCUUGAGUACAGUUGAGGUAGGUGGAAUGCGUGGUGGAGCGGUGAAAUGCUUAGAGAUCACGAAGAACCCCGGUGGCGAAGGCAGCUGACUAAACUGUGACUGACGUUGAGGCUCGAAAGUGUGGGGAUCAAACAGGAUUAGAUACCCUGGUAGUC